GAUGAACGCUGGCGGCGUGCCUAAUACAUGCAAGUCGAGCGAACAGACGAGGAGCUUGCUCCUCUGACGUUAGCGUCGGACGGGGGAGUAACACGUGGAUAACCUACCUAUAAGACUGGGAUAACUUCGGGAAACCGGAGCUAAUACCGGAUAAUAUAUUGAACCGCAUGGUUCAAUAGUGAAAGACGGUUUUGCUGUCACUUAUAGAUGGAUCCGCGCCGCAUUAGCUAGUUGGUAAGGUAACGGCUUACCAAGGCGACGAUGCGUAGCCGACCUGAGAGGGUGAUCGGCCACACAGGAACUGAGACACGGUCCAGACUCCUACGGGAGGCAGCAGUAGGGAAUCUUGCGCAAUGGGCGAAAGCCUGACGGAGCAACGCCGCGUGAGUGAUGAAGGUCUUCGGAUCGUAAAACUCUGUUAGUAGGGAAGAACAAAUGUGUAAGUAACUAUGCACGUCUUGACGGUACCUAAUCAGAAAGCCACGGCUAACUACGUG
rnacentral:rRNA from 1 species